rnacentral:lncRNA from 1 species
AGGAUCUUCAUUGGCCAAAGUAAGUUCACAAGAAUAUUCUUGCAGAAGUUUGGCAUGAAGAAAGGUAUAUCUAUGACCCCAUAUUGUAGAGUUUAAAAAUGAUGAGCAAGGUAAUUUUAUUGUUUGAAGCUGUAUUACUAUAUCAUACAGUUUGUAGGCCAAAUUGUAUGCUCAUUUUGUGCUUAUAUGCAAAGAUAUCAAACUAAUUCUAAUGAAUCGCAUUUAAUUGAUAUCAAAAGACUCAUAAAAAUCUGUUAAGAUAAUAAAACUAAGUAAGUACUCCAAUCUUAAGUAAAAACAAAACAAGCAUAAUAUAUUCAGCACAUUUGUAAGAAUUAUGUGAGCAUUCUUUUGGAAGGGAUAAAAUCUGUAAUAAACUAUAUUUAAACAGGAAGAGUUUGGAGUGAACAUUUUUAAAGGAAAUGAUUUAACCUUUCUAUAUUGCUCAUCAUAGGGAUGGUGCCAAUGGGGAGGCUAGUGGUAGUACCUCGUGCCCCUUCCAACUCCACCGGAUAGGGAGCAAAUAGAGUAUAGAGCAUAAAAAAAGUAAAACCAAAAGAAAUGAAGAUCAGAAUGUUCACUGAGUGGUUAAAGGAAGAAAUUCAAAAAUGAGAAAAUGAAUGACAAGAUAAAUGAAAGUAUAUAAGAAGCUUGUGAAAAGCCAAAUGAAGUUUCGAUCACGU